rnacentral:rRNA from 1 species
AUUGAACGCUGGCGGCAGGCCUAACACAUGCAAGUCGAACGGUAACAGGAAGCAGCUUGCUGCUUUGCUGACGAGUGGCGGACGGGUGAGUAAUGUCUGGGAAACUGCCCGAUGGAGGGGGAUAACUACUGGAAACGGUAGCUAAUACCGCAUAACGUCGCAAGACCAAAGAGGGGGACCUUAGGGCCUCUUGCCAUCGGAUGUGCCCAGAUGGGAUUAGCUAGUAGGUGGGGUAACGGCUCACCUAGGCGACGAUCCCUAUCUGGUCUGAGAGGAUGACCAGCCACACUGGAACUGAGACACGGUCCAGACUCCUACGGGAGGCAGCAGUGGGGAAUAUUGCACAAUGGGCGCAAGCCUGAUGCAGCCAUGCCGCGUGUAUGAAGAAGGCCUUCGGGUUGUAAAGUACUUUCAGCGGGGAGGAAGGGAGUAAAGUUAAUACCUUUGCUCAUUGACGUUACCCGCAGAAGAAGCACCGGCUAACUCCGUG